rnacentral:rRNA from 1 species
GAAUUCACUAGUGAUUCAGGCCUAACACAUGCAAGUCGAGCGGGGAUAGGGUGCUUGCACCUGAUUCCUAGAGGCGGACGGGUGAGUAAUGCUUAGGAAUCUGCCUAUUAGUGGGGGACAACGUUCCGAAAGGGGCGCUAAUACCGCAUACGUCCUACGGGAGAAAGCAGGGGAUCUUCGGACCUUGCGCUAAUAGAUGAGCCUAAGUCGGAUUAGCUAGUUGGUGGGGUAAAGGCCUACCAAGGCGACGAUCUGCAGCGGGUCUGAGAGGAUGAUCCGCCACACUGGGACUGAGACACGGCCCAGACUCCUACGGGAGGCAGCAGUGGGGAAUAUUGGACAAUGGGGGCAACCCUGAUCCAGAAAGGCCGCGUGUGUGAAGAAGGCCUUUUGGUUGUAAAUUAAAUGGAGCGAGGAGGAGGCUUACCUGGUUAAUACCUGGGAUAAGUGGACGUACUCGCAGA